rnacentral:rRNA from 1 species
CCCGCUGAACUUAAGCAUAUCAGUAAGCGGAGGAAAAGAAACUAACAAGGAUUCCCCCAGUAACGGCGAGUGAAGCGGGAUCAGUGCAUGACGAAUCUUGCAUUUGCGAGAAAUGUGUCGUGGAGAGAGCGUCAGCGAGGCAGACGGCAGCAGGUCCCCUGGAAAGGGGCGGCAGAGAGGGUGAGACCCCCGUGGCAGCCGUUUCGCCAAGCGUUGGACGAUCUCAACGAGUCGGAUUGUUUGGGCAUGCAAUCCCAAGCAGGUGGUACGCGCCAUCUCAGGCUAAAUAAAGGCAAGAGACCGAUAGGAAACAAGUACCGUGAGGGAAAGAUGAAAAGGACUCUGAAGAGAGAGUCAAAAGUGCGUGAAAUUGCGGCGAGGGAAACGAAGGCGGGUGCGUAUUAAGGGGCAGUUGGAGCGGGAUGAAAAGGAGCAGGACGGUACUUUCCUGAAGGGAGGACUUAUAGCCUGAGGCAUUUCAUCUUGGUGUAACGUCCUGGAGCGGCCGUCUUUGACCCGUCUUGAAACACGG